rnacentral:rRNA from 1 species
UACGAAGGGGGCUAGCGUUGCUCGGAAUCACUGGGCGUAAAGGGUGCGUAGGCGGGUCUUUAAGUCAGGGGUGAAAUCCUGGAGCUCAACUCCAGAACUGCCUUUGAUACUGAAGAUCUUGAGUUCGGGAGAGGUGAGUGGAACUGCGAGUGUAGAGGUGAAAUUCGUAGAUAUUCGCAAGAACACCAGUGGCGAAGGCGGCUCACUGGCCCGAUACUGACGCUGAGGCUCGAAAGCGUGGGGAGCAAACAGGG